CCAGUCUCUUCCCUUGCUUCUAGAAUCUUAGAACUCACCAACAAUGAGAGUUCUAGAAUGUGUGUUCCUCCUGACUCUCAUCUCAGCUGUUCAGGGGCAGUCACUCACCUCCUCUGAGCCAGUGGUGAAGAGACCUGGAGAGCCAGUGACCUUGUCCUGUAGUGUGUCUGGGCUUUCUCUAAGCUAUCUACAUUGGAUAUGUCAGAAACCAGGGAAAGGACUGGAGUGGAUUGGACGCAUUGACAGUGGCACUGGCACUAUAUUUGCCCAGUCUCUCCAGGGCCAGUUCAUCAUCACCAAAGACAGCUCCAAAAACCAGCUGUACUUAGAGGUGAAAAGCCUGAAGCCUGAAGACUCUGCUGUUUAUUAUUGUGCCAGAGACACAGUGACACAGGAGGCUGCAGGACCGUACAAAAACUGA